UACAGAGGGUGCGAGCGUUAAUCGGAAUUACUGGGCGUAAAGCGCGCGUAGGCGGCUUUGCAAGUCGGGUGUGAAAUCCCCAGGCUUAACCUGGGAACUGCAUUCGAGACUGCAUUGCUAGAGUAUGGGAGAGGGAAGUGGAAUUUCCGGUGUAGCGGUGAAAUGCGUAGAUAUCGGAAGGAACACCGGUGGCGAAAGCGGCUUACUGGAUCUCUUCUGACGCUGAGGCACGAAAGCUAGGGUAGCGAACGGG
rnacentral:rRNA from 1 species